ACUAUACCCUAAUAAAAAUAAAUUUAAAUAGAAAAUAAAUAAAUAAGCAAGUCCUAAAGGCUGACUGCUGAGGAAGUGCCCCAAAAGCCUCCACAGUAGUGGACGUGAUGAAAACUGCUCAGGAGUUUCAGGACGAAGAAGGCUGGUAUGCUUAGGUCUACUUGACUAGGGUUCUCCUUUCAAUCCCAAUCUAAAAAAAAAAUGUCACACACAGUGUGUCUUCCUGUGGAGUAGACCCAACUGUCACCUUACUGUUAUCCCUUAGGGACACCUGAAGUCUCCAGCCUAUGGUCACAACCUUGUUGGAAACAGUCUGGUCCAGAUUGCUGUCAAAAGUAAGUUGCUUAACCAUUAUUUUUCUCUUUGAGGAGAGAGUCAGGCAAGGUUUGGAAAUUAUGUGGGCACACGUGACUAGGUUAAGCUUAAGAUUCAGACUGGAUCCACCAAAAGCCCAGUGACAUCAGGCCUGUUUCUGGAAAUAGCCUGGGUAAACCACAAGAGACAAUUCGUAAACAAUCAAGGGCAAAGUGCUGUCUCUUCUAGAUCCCAGUAAGAGAAGAACCGCUUGCAGCACUAUUUGAAAUCUGGCAGAUAGACUUUGGGUUUGUGAGGGUCACACUAUACAGAGUGACAAGAAGACAGACUCAGUUUGAAAGAGGAACAAGCCCAGCUGUAAGAGAUCUAUCUGAGGCAGGCACUAACCCAUACUGCCUCUCUGAGGCAUGAAAUCCAUGGAGUGCAGAGGUAUCUGCUACUAAAAUAUGCAGACUGAAGGUUCUGCAAAGGGAUGCAGUUGUGAAGGACCAAGGAGGCUGCUGGGAUUCCAGACCAGAAAACACUGAUGCUGAGAGCAGGAUAAUCUAGUUGAGUGAGAGCUCCUGGCAUUCUCCUGUGCGCUGGUAGAAACAGUUCCCAGACUGAAGGAAUGUGAAGAGCAUUAGACUAUAUUUAGACUUAAGAUAUCUACCAUGUCAUGGGGAUGUUAAAAAGGCGUUCCAACCCAAGUUUCCUGAUAAAAUGAAAGUGUCAGGAACAACUAAGGGGAGUCACUUGGGUGAAAUCCAUCGUACCCAUGAAAAGGUAGCCCUUCCACAAUGGACUGGUGAUCGGAUCUAUCCAGUGUGGUGUGAACCUCAUGAUUUCAUUCCCACUGAGGAAAAUCAGGCUACUUGGUUCAUCAAUGGAAACUCCCAUAGGAAGAGUCAGGACACAAAACAUUCCUGUGGUGGAAUGAAUAAAUGGAGUUGAAGAAAGCAAGAUGUGCCUCUGGACUUUCCACUCUGACGCAGAAGGCAGAGAAAUCAACAAAAUUGCUAGGAACCAGUGAAUACAGUCAUACUCAAUCCAAAGGAAUACCUCUAGUGCAUUGUUGAGAAUUUUCUCAGACCUGCCCUUUGGGGAUUGUAUAAUGGUAUGUUGUUCAAUUCUCUGGAUGAUUAACUAGGAAAGCUACAGAUCAUCUGUUAGAAUUAUAGACUGACUCUAAUAAGAUGACGUUUAACUGGGGCAAAGGUAAACUUGUAUUAGUCAAGUGAACCAAUUGGGUAGAUAUGGAAUGGGGUGCAUAGAACUUAGUUGGGGUACCUAGCUAACAAGAUAGAGUCUGAAUCAAGAGUGUUUUGUAGCUGCCUGCGAUCUUAGAUUGCAAGUCACAGAAUGGUUGGUAUUGUCUGCACGAGGGCUUCCCCUAUUCUGAAGGUCUUGGUUUAGGCCAGUUUCAAUACAAGGGAAACAUCCAGGGGAGAAAAAAUGGGCAGAAGAGGGAACUCUAAGUCUUUUCAUCUAAGAAAGCAAGUGAAAUUAUUGGGGAUGAUUGACUGUAGAGCUAACUUAAGAAUACCAUUGUCACAAUUUAUAGAUAUUUUGGAAUGGUCAGAUAUAUUUUAAAAUGACUGAUGCUUGGUAUAAGUUUGUAGGCCAUUAAUUGACAGGAAUUUGCUUUGCCCAGUUCAUAACUGUGUGACUUUGGGAAAGUCACUUAACCUUUGUAAGCCUUAACUUGAUGUUAUUUAAAACAGAAAUAAGCCCUAUCUCAUUAAGUGGUGGUUAGGAUUAAAUCAGAUAAAUAUAAGUAAUGAAUAUAAAACUAUUGUGACAUCAUCUUUUUGUAAGACUCAUAAUGACAUUGUGAUUUUAUUAUACUGUUAUGCAUUUAGAAUAUCUGAUAAUAAGCAAAAAGUCAACCUACAAAUAUGUUGAUAGAUUGGGAGAGAAUGGUCAUAGUGUUAAAUAGGAUGGUGUAUUUAAUGUUUAAGUGGGGACUGAUUUUCUAAGUAACUAGUUAGUUCAUUACUGAAUAUUUGUGUCUUGGGAAAGUUGCUUUCUAACCAACAUUAUAACUACAGAGGCUUAAGUAAUAAACAUUCAAAAUCAGAAGCAUUUGUAUCUCUGACUAGCUAGGCAAAGACAUAGUAUUAUUUUUGAAUAACAUCCACACUUUUUUUAAAUUAUGAAAGGGCUUCAAUAACAGUGGAGAUUAUUAGGAAAUAAUUGUAAAAAAUCGUUGCCUAACUCUACCUUUUGCCUUAACUAAUCUUAGCAUAAAUUCCAGAGUAACCAGUCUGAGUCAUAAUAGAUGUGCUUUUGAAAUGAAUCUGGAAAAUUAAAUAGCAAACACCUCCCAUCUGUUUUUAGAUAUUUCUAUUCAAAAACCCCACUAAAACAUAUUUCAAAAGUUUCUUAAAAUUUUAGUGAGAAUUUUUGUUCAAGUUAACUCUUAAAAAUAUCUUUAACUGUAAAUUUAGGGAAUUAGGCCAUUCUUUGUGGGAAAAAUAAUCCUUUAUUCAAUGAAUUUUUUCCUUAUAUUUUCUUUUCCAACUUGAAUAAUUCAAAUUUCUUUAACUUUUCCCAAUUGGUGAUGUUUUCCUCUUUUGUUACCUGCAUUUCUCUUUAGAUAUGAAAUACAGAACUAAACUCUUUAAUGGAUAUAAUGAUAGUUUAUGUGUCCUGUGUCAUCACUGUCCUUUAAUAAACAGCAAAACUUUAUUAUGAUCUUAAGAAAUUACUAUACAAUAUUCUUCCAAGACUAAAAUUAUUGUCCAUUUAUUUUUUUCUCCUGGGGAAAAAAUUUUGCCCACUUAGAAAGUUUCUUUAUGGCAGAAAUGAAAGGCUGCAAAUUAAAUCUUUAGUUUUUCCUUACUCUUAUUUCUGCACAUUGAUUUGCACUAUAAAUUCCUCAGGGGUGUAGUGUUAAGUCAUAACAUAAUUGUGUUUCCUCCCCUCAUAGAUUAGCAAUUUAUGAAGAAGACAGACAGGAUUUACUUAUAAAUAAAACUGUGAUGUCAAUAAAAAUUUGUUUUUUUGAAAAGAUAGCCAUAUAUUUAUUUAUUUAUUUAUUUAUUUGU